AUACAUUGAGUCAGUCACACUUUAGAAGAGAACUGUAAGUCUUGACUCUCAAAGUUAUUGUCACUCAUUAGCGCAGAUGCUGCUCCUCAUAUUCAUUACAUUUUCUCUCCUAAAAGAGACUGCUGGUGAAGAUGUCAUAAAACCAGUCUUCACACAGAAGCAGGUUUUGGAAGGAAAAGAUGUAACACUGAUCUGCAACUACACUGAAGCUGUCAACAAUUUACAAUGGUAUCGUCAGUAUCCCGGAUCCAAACCUGAGCACCUCAUCAUGUUCUUUGAGACCAUCCCCAAAUCAGAGGACGCUCUCCGUCUGACCGCUGCAGCUGAUAAAGCAGCUAAAAGUAUGACUCUGACGAUCUCUCCUACAGAAGUGAAAGACUCUGCCAUGUACUACUGUGCCCUGGAGCCCACAGUGACAGGAAACACAACUACACUGUACAAAAACAGAGUUAGAAGUGAAAUUCAUGAUGAAAAACAAGAUCCUCCUCAUUUUAAAAACUAACUGUAACCAUUAGAAAGAAUUUGUGAACAAAAUACACAGUAAUAAAACUCUGGAGCAAAAGUACUUAAACUAGAUUAUUUGAAUAAAAAAAUCAUUCUUAAAAUAAAGCAAGUUACCAGCUCUGAUGGUGUUGUACAUCAUUAUAAAUAUAUACCAGAAAGAUUACGCAGUUUCAGUGUGUUCCAAACAAUGUUUAAAUACAAGACACAUCAUGUUUCUUCCAGAUACAGAAAAUGCUAGAUUCUCAGCAGAUGCAGACUUUACCAAGAAGUGACUAUGCUGUGUUCCAAUUCCCAGCAUACCAAAUGGCAUACCUGAUACACCGAAUGCAGACUGUUAAAUGGAGAAGCUUUGUACCAAACUUUGCAAAAAGGAAGAACAUUAAGAAUCUCUGAACUAUGUGUAAAGCUAUGAAAGUAAGAGAACAAGUGGGUGGAGCUAGUAGAGGAAAAAAAGUCACUGCUAACAAAAGAACGGCUCAAUACCUCCGAAGACAGAAGAGGACUUUCAG